AGACUCUGAAAGCAGAACAGGGGAAGAAUAAGGAGCUUUGAACAUGUUGGGCCAGAAGUUACCAAGAAUAACUGUAAAAUGUGCUGGGAAUGCAAUGUCCUGAGAUAAGGAAGAACUGCCUGAAACAGCCUGGAUCUUAUUCCUGUACUUCCUAGGGAAUGUAACAUCUCAAGUUAAAGAGGAACUGCCCGGAACAGCCCGGGGAUUGUUCCUCUCUCCUGAGAAGGAAGAUUACCUCCAAAGCUCAUCCACUGAGUCACACUGCCCCUGUGGUGGAGGGCGGGCUGCCUUUCCAGGUUCCUCAGCUGUGGUGUAACUGAAGCAGGCACAAUCAAGACUCCAUCUGCUCGAGGCAGCUUUCUCGAACCUUGGGGAACCUACUCACAAUGGAUCACAGGCUUCUUUUGUUUUGUUUCUUGCUGCCUAUCUGUAAGUAAUUAACUUGCUUCAUGUAACGUGUUGCAUAUGAGUGUGUUCUGUCUCAUAGACUCAGGGAAUUGGUAACACUGCAGCUGAGGACGCAGUGGACAGAAGUGUUCAGACUCCUGUUCCUUGUGGUUGACACAGUGAUGAUGAUCUCUUCUGUCCUCCACAGAGUGGAAGUCCUCUCUUGGGAUUGGUUAUUGGUGAAACCACUUCGCAAUUUAUUAAGAUGGCAAAAGCUUACGGAGGGACAGAUUUGAGGGGAAGAUCAAGAUUUUUCUGUCAGUAUUGCAAAUAGUCAAGAAUAUGUGGUCCAAGAAGUGAUCAUUAUCUUUGGCAUUGUGCAAGUCAUUAGUGACCUUCACAUGAACAGUCUCAGUGGAGUGUUGGAGGAAAAAGCCUAACUGAAGAAGGUUCAAGAGUGAAUGGAAAAAGAGCAGUAGUAUGUGGAGAGUACAGACAAGUAUUUCCAGGAGCCUUUCUGUAAAGAGUGGUAGAGAAUGGGACAUCAUUUUUGGAUGGGGGAAGAGUUAUUUAUAGCAUGUUCAUAUGCUAAUGGAAGUGAUCUACUCAUGGGGAAAAUCUUGAUGAUGCAAGAAAGAAAGGGAUUUGUUGGAAUCUUGUCCUAUAACGGGUGAGAGGGGAUGGGUUCUAGAAGAAAAGGCAUGGGUCUUUGUUUGAGAUCAGGCAAUUCAUCUGUAGGAACCAGUAGGAAGAUGGUUAAGUGGGUACCUGUGGUAGUGGAUGUUUGUGAACAUUCUUUUCUUUUCCAUUGUUUCUAUUUUCUCAAUAAAGUGGGAAGCAAAAAUCAGCUGAGUGAAGAUGAGGAAGAAGGUGUUAAAGGUUUGAAGAAAAAAGGAAAAGGAUAUACUAAUCUAAGAGGACAAGUAAGUAGAACAUAGAUAAUGAAAAUGCUGGCCCUUAGGACUGUUGGGCCUAAAUGCUCAUAUUAUAUUGGUAGUCACAAAUUUGAACUUUCUCUAGAGCCAAUUUUUGCAUGUGUGUGCAGGCCUGGAGUAGUUGGAGAGUUGGAUUUAAUAGAAUUGAGGGUCAAGCAACUACAACCAGGGAAGAGUGGGACAAGGGAGAUAAAGGAUAUUGGCAGGGGAGCAAUUAUAAACAUGGACCAUGAUCAAAACUGGACAGGAAGGAAAAUAGAGAUAAGAGGGGUGGAAGGUUAAAAAUAGUGAAAAUGAGAUAGAAUGAAUAGGUUGUAGGUCCCUGUAAAGUUGAAGAAGUAUUAUUAUGCAGUACUCGUUAUUGAAAUGAGGUCACUAUGCUUAAGGCACAGUGAAUCCUAGAAAAUAGUGGUUUUGUUUCUCAUUAGGCAAUACAUUCCUCCUUGCUCCAGAAUGCAACAUACAUGUAUCCUUUUCUGUACUAUUUUUUAUUAAGAAUUCAUACUUAAUUCCACUGACUGCCACUCAAUUUUAAUGUACAGUAGGGAAUUCCUGUACUAUGUAUUAUGAAUCCAUUCCUUUGAAUUUCAUUUAUAAUACUUCAUGACUGACACCUGGCUUUCCACCAAGACUCAAUUUUCAUAGCAAGCCUCAUCAUCAUAAGCCCCCAAAUUAACAGGAUGAGGAGGAAGAAUUGGCAGGCUAAAGAAGAUGAUUAUAUCAAUUAAUGCAGAAAAAGCAUUUGAUAAAAUCCAAUAUUCAUUUGUAAUUAAAAACUCUCAGCAAGUUAGGGAUAGGAAUUACUUCAACUUAAUGAAGAGUGUCUUUAAAAACCUUAUUUUCAUCAGUUAUAACAAAUGUACCACUCUGGUGGUGAAUGUUGCUAAGGAGGGAAGCUAUACAUGUGUGGGGAAAGGAGAUGUGUGAGCAAUUUCUGUACCUUCUACUCAAUCUUCUGUGAGACUAAAAUUGCUGUAAAAAAUAAAGUUCAUUUUUUU
rnacentral:lncRNA from 1 species